UGCUAGCUCAUAGGAAAAUUAAUCCACGUUUACUGGAUUGCUGAGCCUUUGAGAAGACAAUUUCUGCUUAACUGCAGUGGAGGAAACUAGCACAUGUUUCAGAGGAUGCUCAGAUACACAGAUGCUCUGAAGGCAGAUAUCCAGUCACUUAAAUAGCCUGGAUCUAAAAGGUCUAACGCCAGUUCUAAUCUGCAAGUGAGAAGAUCUAGACAGAGGCUAUCAGAGCAUGGGAAUGCUGAAAGUCAGUCUGGAUCUGUCCACAUGAAAAUUUAGACUACAUUAGGGGAUAGCUGUAUCUACCUUCUUGACAGGCACUGAAAGGUUCUUGCUGAGGGAGGCAGUAGAUUUGAAUCAAGUCUGAGUGCAGCCAGUCCACAGGAG
rnacentral:lncRNA from 1 species